rnacentral:rRNA from 1 species
GGGGGAAUUUUGGACAAUGGGGGCAACCCUGAUCCAGCCAUGCCGCGUGAGUGAAGAAGGCCUUCGGGUUGUAAAGCUCUUUCGGCCGGGAAGAAAUCGUGCAGGCUAAUACCCUGUAUGGAUGACGGUACCGGAAUAAGAAGCACCGGCUAACUACGUGCCAGCAGCCGCGGUAAUACGUAGGGUGCGAGCGUUAAUCGGAAUUACUGGGCGUAAAGCGUGCGCAGGCGGUUUUGUGAGACAGGCGUGAAAUCCCCGGGCUCAACCUGGGAACUGCGCUUGUGACUGCAAGACUAGAGUACGGCAGAGGGGGGUUGGAAUUCCACGUGUAGCAGUGAAAUGCGUAGAGAUGUGGAGGAACACCAAUGGCGAAGGCAGCCCCCUGGGUCGAUACUGACG